rnacentral:rRNA from 1 species
CCUACGGUGAGCAGCAGUGAGGAAUAUUGGUCAAUGGACGCAAGUCUGAACCAGCCAUGCCGCGUGCAGGAAGACGGCUCUAUGAGUUGUAAACUGCUUUUGUACGAGGGUAAACGCAGAUACGCGUAUCUGUCUGAAAGUAUCGUACGAAUAAGGAUCGGCUAACUCCGUGCCAGCAGCCGCGGUAAUACGGAGGAUUCAAGCGUUAUCCGGAUUUAUUGGGUUUAAAGGGUGCGUAGGCGGUCGGAUAAGUUAGAGGUGAAAUCCCGAGGCUCAACUUCGGCAUUGCCUCUGAUACUGGUCGGCUAGAGAGGAGGUGCGGGAGGAGGAAUGUAUGGGGUAGCGGGGAAAUGCAUAGAGAUCAUACAGAACACCGAUUGCGAAGGCAGCUUGCC